UUUAGCUCCAGUUCUUCCCAUCUGAAAGAGCUGGACCUGAGCUACAAUAACCCAGGAGAGGCAGGAGUGAAGAUGCUUGAGCAGCUAAGACUGGACACUCUGAGGGUGGAGCCUGCUGGAGUCCGAUGGUUGAGACCAGGUCUGAGGAAGUAUUCCUGUCAACU